rnacentral:rRNA from 1 species
GUAGAGACAGGUGGUGCAGUGGUUGUCGUCAGCUCGUGUCGUGAGAUGUUGGGUUAAGUCCCGCAACGAGCGCAACCCUUACGUUUAGUUGCUACGAAAGAGCACUCUAGACGGACUGCCGUUGACAAAACGGAGGAAGGUGGGGACGACGUCAAAUCAUCAUGCCCCUUAUGUCCUGGGCUACACACGUACUACAAUGGCGGCUAACAGAGGGCAGCAAAAGCGCGAGCUUAAGCGAAUCCCAAAAAGCCGUCCCAGUUCGGAUUGCAGGCUGAAACUCGCCUGCAUGAAGUCGGAAUUGCUAGUAAUCGCGGAUCAUCAUGCCGCGGUGAAUACGUUCCCGGGCCUU